GAUGAACGCUGGCGGCGUGCCUAAUACAUGCAAGUCGAGCGAAUGGAUUAAGAGCUUGCUCUUAUGAAGUUAGCGGCGGACGGGUGAGUAACACGUGGGUAACCUGCCCAUAAGACUGGGAUAACUCCGGGAAACCGGGGCUAAUACCGGAUAACAUUUUGAACCGCAUGGUUCGAAAUUGAAAGGCGGCUUCGGCUGUCACUUAUGGAUGGACCCGCGUCGCAUUAGCUAGUUGGUGAGGUAACGGCUCACCAAGGCAACGAUGCGUAGCCGACCUGAGAGGGUGAUCGGCCACACUGGGACUGAGACACGGCCCAGACUCCUACGGGAGGCAGCAGUAGGGAAUCUUCCGCAAUGGACGAAAGUCUGACGGAGCAACGCCGCGUGAGUGAUGAAGGCUUUCGGGUCGUAAAACUCUGUUGUUAGGGAAGAACAAGUGCUAGUUGAAUAAGCUGGCACCUUGACGGUACCUAACCAGAAAGCCACGGCUAACUACGUGCCAGCAGCCGCGGUAAUACGUAGGUGGCAAGCGUUAUCCGGAAUUAUUGGGCGUAAAGCGCGCGCAGGUGGUUUCUUAAGUCUGAUGUGAAAGCCCACGGCUCAACCGUGGAGGGUCAUUGGAAACUGGGAGACUUGAGUGCAGAANAGGAAAGUGGAAUUCCAUGUGUAGCGGUGAAAUGCGUANAGAUAUGGAGGAACACCAGUGGCGAAGGCGACUUUCUGGUCUGUAACUGACACUGAGGCGCGAAAGCGUGGGGAGCAAACAGGAUUAAAUACCCUGGUAGUCCACNCCGUAAACGAUGAGUGCUAANUGU
rnacentral:rRNA from 1 species